rnacentral:rRNA from 1 species
CCUUGUCGGGUAAGUUCCGACCCGCACGAAAGGCGUAACGAUCUGGGCACUGUCUCAACGAGAGACUCGGUGAAAUUAUAGUACCUGUGAAGAUGCAGGUUACCCGCGACAGGACGGAAAGACCCCGUGGAGCUUUACUGUAGCCUGAUAUUGAAUUUUGGUACAGCUUGUACAGGAUAGGUAGGAGCCUGAGAAGCCGGAGCGCUAGCUUCGGUGGAGGCGUCGGUGGGAUACUACCCUGGUUGUAUUGAAAUUCUAACCCGCAGCCCUGAUCGGGCUGGGAGACAGUGUCAGGUGGGCAGUUUGACUGGGGCGGUCGCCUCCUAAAGAGUAACGGAGGCGCCCAAAGG